rnacentral:rRNA from 1 species
AACGAACGCUGGCGGCAUGCCUAACACAUGCAAGUCGAACGAGACCUUCGGGUCUAGUGGCGCACGGGUGCGUAACGCGUGGGAACCUGCCCUUAGGUUCGGAAUAACUCCCCGAAAGGGGUGCUAAUACCAGAUAAUGUCUUCGGACCAAAGAUUUAUCGCCUUUGGAUGGGCCCGCGUUGGAUUAGCUAGUUGGUAGGGUAAAAGCCUACCAAGGCGACGAUCCAUAGCUGGUCUGAGAGGAUGAUCAGCCACACUGGGACUGAGACACGGCCCAGACUCCUACGGGAGGCAGCAGUGGGGAAUAUUGGACAAUGGGCGAAAGCCUGAUCCAGCACUGCCGCGUGAGUGAUGAAGGCCUUAGGGUUGUAAAGCUCUUUUACCCGGGAUGAUAAUGACAGUACCGGGAGAAUAAGCUCCGGCUAACUCCGUG